UACGGGGGGGGCAAGCGUUGUUCGGAAUUACUGGGCGUAAAGGGCUCGUAGGUGGCCAACUAAGUCAGACGUGAAAUCCCUCGGCUUAACUGGGGAACUGCGUCUGAUACUGGAUGGCUUGAGUUUGGGAGAGGGAUGCGGAAUUCCAGGUGUAGCGGUGAAAUGCGUAGAUAUCUGGAGGAACACCGGUGGCGAAGGCGGCAUCCUGGACCAACACUGACACUGAGGAGCGAAAGCCAGGGGAGCAAACGGG
rnacentral:rRNA from 1 species